GAAAUGCAGUGCCAACCUUUUACACCAGCCUUAUCCCAUCAGAUACCACUAGCUCAUCUGCAGUUGCAGAAGUAUCAGUUGAACCAGUCGCUUCAGUUUCAAUGUUGGAGGAUAAGGAAAAGGACAUGGAGCAAACAAGCAACAAGUUUUUUGUAGAAGAAUGCAACAUAUUACUAGCUGAGUGUGAAGAAACUGUAGA